rnacentral:lncRNA from 1 species
GAGAGAGAGAGGCAGAGACACAGGCAGAGGGAGAAGCAGGCUCCGCGCAGCGAGCCCGACGCGGGACUCGAUCCCCGGUCCCCAGGUCACGCCCUGGGCAGAAGGGGGCGCUAAACCGCUGCGCCAGCCCGGCUGCCCAUGAUUGAAAUUGCCGAUGGGAAAUUUUGAAGGAUAGAAGUUAAAAACGAGUGAAUGGGUGCUCAACUUUCCAUCUUUCGGGAGUAAAUGUAAGAAGUCUGGAGGCGGCUACCACAAGGUAGGGGAGCGGCGGGGAGCGCGGAGCAGCGGGCGCGGAGGCCGGGGCGCGAGGGGCGGGGCCGGCAGGCCGGCGGGUCCCCGGGGUGCACCAUAGAGGGCGCUGGAUGACCGAGGGACAGAGAGGCGCACGCCGCCCACGCCAGUGGCUCCGGGAACCCGCGCCGGCGAGCAAGAUGGCGGCCGUUUGACUGCGAGGCGAGGCGCGGCGCCGCGGGGUGCUGCCGGGGUGGCGACGGCGGGUUGGCUUGGAGCAACGGCCGCCGCCGGGACAGGCUCCCCGCGAGAUGGGACGUGAAGGGCUCCCGCCCGCCCCGCCGUCCUGCAGCUGCUGGAAUGACCUAGCAAUUGGCUAGGUAUACCCUGAACUAUAUAAGAUGUAUGGUGGGCCAGAAGCAGGCCUUCUUCCUGCAGACUUGGAAGGAGCUGAUGACAAAGGUCUGCCAGCAGAGCUCUGACUAUGUUCUUCAGUCUCAAAAAACAUAGAACAGCUACAGAAAAGGUACCACUGCCAUAAAUUUUGCCUACCCCAGGAAAUCUCCAGUUCAACUCUUGAGUUGCUCCGAUGAUCCACCCACCCUGGACCCAUACCCCUGUCUCCAGGCACUGAAUUUUAAGAGGAAAUUCCUGGAGACCCUAAAACCUUCAAGACACAAAGAAUGCAAGAUAGAGAAAAAUAGUGACAGUCAGUUCUUUUGGAGUAAAAUGUCACUGCCUCAAACAUACUUCAUAGGUAUUCAUCACAUACCAAUUCUGAAAUUAGCCUGCUUGUUAUGGUGUUAUGACAGCAAACAGUAUGCAAAGGUUGGUCAACACUUGAAAACUGUACCUUCAUUGCCUCAGACCUUCCAGGGCUGUCAUUGCAAGUCAGUGCAGUGUCUGUCCAGCAUAACAAUGAUUCCCUAAAGAGGAGAGCAGCUUGGUAAGAAGAAACUAAUGACUAUUAUUUUUUUUAAAGUUUCUCUUUAGAGGCAUCUCACUGAGAUAUGCACAAAAGAGAGAUUUGGUAUGUCACUAAUGGCACGUUCCAACCUUCAGAAUGCAUAAAAUGCUCCCGCAUCUAAUUAGAUAUGGGGUCAAAGUAAAGAAUUUCCUUCCCCAAAUUGACUGUGGGAGUUUGUGUAUUUAUUUGAGUGAACUGGGUCAGUUGACAGGUCCAGUCAACUUACAGACUCACUGUGAUUUAUGCUUUGGUAGGAAGGAAGAGCAGCUUUGGAAACUCAGACCUCUUCUAU